CUUUCACGGCGCCCGUCGCAAUAGCAACAGGUAACUUGCUUGGUCUGCUUGUGGUUUCGCCUGUUUCGCCCGUUCUGUGCGCCGUCAUGUCAGAACUGUUUGGGUUGCUGACUGAUCUUUCUUCAGCGCUGGAACAAUUGAUGUGAUGAUAGCGCAGGAUCUCGCCGCGCAGUUAUGAGACGCCGCCGGUGACUCUUGGACUGUUGUCACAGCUUGAAGCACUAAUAUUUCCAACUACAGGAACGAUGGCGGGUCGGGAUGCAAGGGAGAAUGGAGGACCUAGACGCCCAUCAAACACCAUUCAUCUGGAAGCAUUUGAGAGUGGUGAGGAGGAUGAGCACGGCUACGUCCACCCGUCUCGACUGGACGUGGACGGUGCGGAGGUGCGGCGGCCAAGCGUGCCCUUCCACACGCGCAACCUCAUCAGGCAGCUGCCCUCCCGAAACCUAGAUGACCUGAGCCCAGCAGAGCCAGAUGCUGUAGUCUCUGAGAAACCUCGGGGCGACAAGGUGCCACCGACGGCAGCGUCCUCGGACGCCGGCAGCAGCAGGCGGCGUGACAACUGGCGCUACCUGACUCUCCGCGUACGUGCAGCCACAGCCAACAAUGCCAACGACAUGAAUGCCGAUGAUCUGUUCCAAAUCCUGCGAGCGGACAGCAACUUCUCGGAGGCCGUUGCCCUGGCCACGCUACGCAACUCCAAGCAGAGCCUGACGCUAAAGCGCUCGGUCAAGCGCCGCCUCACGUCGUCGAGGGCCGACCACGCCAGUGCCGCUCAGCGCAGCGUCUCGUGGUGGCGGAGGACCAAAUUCUCAUUCGCAAUGGCGAUGCAGCGGGUCAAGCGUGGCCUGCUGGACGCCCUGUCCCACGUGGACCUGUGGCACAGCCACCUCAAGGACAUCCAGGGCAACUUUGGCUCUGGGGUGGCCUCCUACUUCUUCUUCCUGCGUCGUCUGCUCGCGCUCAACUUCUGCAUGGGUGCCUUGCUGAUGGGUUUUGUAAUAGUGCCUCAGCUGAUCUACGCGCGAACCCCAUCACCUGUGCGGUCAGACUUCACCAAGUCUUUUGGUUAUGAGGACCCAUUUGUCAACAUCUUCACCGGAGCUGGCCUGUUUGCGGACACGGUGAUGUACUAUGGCCACUACAGCAAUGAGACAAUACAGUGGCCCAAAGGCAACCCUCUGUCGUACAACUUGCCGCUGGCAUACUUCUUCACAGUGGCCGUCUGCAUGUUCGCCUGCCUAGUCACCCUGGCUUACAGCCUGACCCGGUCCUACAAGCAGAACUACAUUGAGACGUCGAUGGGUGUGAAGGACGUCUACUGUGCCAAAGUAUUCUCAGCCUGGGACUUCAGCAUCGCAUCUCGGGAGGCGGCCAUGCUCAAGUCACGAAGCAUCUACAACGAACUCAAGGAGCUGUUGUCAAUGGAACGGCGGGCUGUCGAGGCACCGCCCACAUGGGGGAUCAGGAUAGGCAAGUUCCUGGCUCGCAUCACGGUCAACCUGGUCAUCAUAGCCGUCAUCGCGGGGUCCGGCGCGCUCGUGUACCACCUGCUGUCCAAGAAAUCUCUCGAGACUGAUGUUCCAGUGCUGGGCGAGAUGACGGUGUCACUGACAGUGGGCACGCUGUGCUUUGUGCUGCCCACCCUGUUCCUGGCCCUGUCUCGGCUGGAGUUCAUCGAGCGGGUCCAGACCAGGCUAUACCUCAACCUGACCAGGGUGACUCUGGCCAAAAUGGUGCUCCUGGGUGUGCUCAUGUACUUCUGGCUGGCUUCCAAACAGCGCAUGGACGGGUGCUGGGAGAGUCGGCUCGGUCAGGAGCUGUACCGGCUUCUGGUGGUGGACACGGCAUUCGUCCUGCUGCUCACCACGGGGGUGGGCGAGGCCCUGCGCUCGGUCAUCUACAAGCACAUAACACCGCGCGUGGGGCCCCCCGAGCUGGACAUCGCACACAACACCCUGGACCUCAUCUACACCCAGACGCUCGUCUGGGCGGGCAUGUUCUACUGCCCGCUGCUCCCCUUGGUGGGCUGUGUCAAGCUGGUGCUGACUUUCUACGUCAAGCGGGUGAGUGUCAUGUGCACGCAGCCAUCGGUGCGGCCCUGGCGAGCCGUGCAUGCCCAGACCGUCUUCCUGGGCCUCACCUUCUUCAGCUUUGUGCUGGCCACGGGCGCCCUGGGAUACUCCCUGCUCAGCAUCCAACCGUCGAAGGUGUGUGGUCCAUUCAAGGGGCUAGAGACGACGUACACGGCCUUCCUGGCCCUAUUCGACCUCGAAGGGUGGUCCACUGCGGAGCAGACGGAGACCAGCCGCGUGUUCCAGUACCUGCUGUCGCCCUUCUCCUUCUUCCUUGGCAUCGUGCUGCUCAGCCUGUGGCUUUACUACAUGCGAGCCCUAGCCCACGCCCACGCUGAGAUGGUCUCUCUGCUCCGUGAGCAGCUCAUCAUGGAAGGGAAGGAUAAGGUAUUCCUGCUGCAGCUCUUUGAAAAGGCGAUGGAGCAGAAGAUGGCUGCACUCAAGUUUGGCACCGCACGAAAGCGUCAAGGUGCCAGCGGUGACCUGACACCCUUGGACACGUUGCGACAGCGCACAGGUGGUGGAGGAAGCGUAGCUGGGGGCAGCUCAACCGAAGGGUCUCCUCAGCGCAGUUUGGGCAGCCUGCCACGACCCCAGCAUCAGCAGGGCUUCCAGUACUUGGCCAAGUAGUAGCAGACACUGGAGGCACGCCUGGCACCAACUACUGCCAUUGGGCCAAAGAAUUCAUCGUGCGAAAUAAAGUUAUUACGUUAUGGUUGUGCAAUCGCA
rnacentral:misc_RNA from 1 species